AAAGGAGGAUUUAACACUAAAAAUCUCUUUAUUGUGUCCAUUGGAACUUGGGUAAGAUUUCUAUAAUCUUGUAAUUGAAUUUUUGGUUAGGAUUAGUGAAUAUUGAAUUUAGGGUUCCUGAUCCAAUUUGGGGUUUUGUUAAAUUGAAGUUAGACUUGAUAAAUUAAGUCAUAAUAUGUUAUUUUUCAUUAGGUUGGCUCAUUGGAUAGUACUUGACGCGUGUUGGUUAAACUUGUGAAGUUUGUGGCUACAAGAGGUCAGGAAAAUGUUCAGGAUCUGCUGUGGGAGGCAUGACAGUGUGGUGUAGCCCUUGUUUACUAGAUAUCUGUUUCCUUACCUUUAGUUAGGAUUGUUAAACGUUUUAAAUUGUUGAACUUUAUGUAUGACUCAGUCACCUUUGACUUGAGCUAUUGUUUUGUUUCCGUUGUGAUAUUGACCACUGAGGUCUAGCAUUCUGAUUAA